GGAUCCAGACUUUGAUCCUGGCUCAGGAUGAACGCUAGCUACAGGCUUAACACAUGCAAGUCGAGGGGCAGCGGGAUUGAAGCUUGCUUCAAUUGCCGGCGACCGGCGCACGGGUGAGUAACGCGUAUCCAACCUUCCGUACACUCAGGGAUAGCCUUUCGAAAGAAAGAUUAAUACCUGAUGGUAUGAUGAGAUUGCAUGAUAGCAUCAUUAAAGAUUUAUCGGUGUACGAUGGGGAUGCGUUCCAUUAGGUAGUAGGCGGGGUAACGGCCCACCUAGCCAACGAUGGAUAGGGGUUCUGAGAGGAAGGUCCCCCACAUUGGAACUGAGACACGGUCCAAACUCCUACGGGAGGCAGCAGUGAGGAAUAUUGGUCAAUGGACGAGGGUCUGAACCAGCCAAGUAGCGUGAAGGAUGAAGGUCCUACGGAUUGUAAACUUCUUUUAUAAGGGAAUAAACCCUCCCACGUGUGGGAGCUUGUAUGUACCUUAUGAAUAAGCAUCGGCUAACUCCGUGCCAGCAGCCGCGGUAAUACGGAGGAUGCGAGCGUUAUCCGGAUUUAUUGGGUUUAAAGGGAGCGCAGACGGGUCGUUAAGUCAGCUGUGAAAGUUUGGGGCUCAACCUUAAAAUUGCAGUUGAUACUGGCGUCCUUGAGUGCGGUUGAGGUGUGCGGAAUUCGUGGUGUAGCGGUGAAAUGCUUAGAUAUCACGAAGAACUCCGAUUGCGAAGGCAGCACACUAAUCCGUAACUGACGUUCAUGCUCGAAAGUGUGGGUAUCAAACAGGAUUAGAUACCCUGUAGUCCACACGGUAAACGAUGGAUACUCGCUGUUGGCGAUAUACUGUCAGCGGCUUAGCGAAAGCGUUAAGUAUCCCACCUGGGGAGUACGCCGGCAACGGUGCAACUCAAAGGAAUUGACGG
rnacentral:rRNA from 1 species